rnacentral:lncRNA from 1 species
CCACUGCUUCGCAUAAGCCUGGAAAACGAAGCUGUAGAGACCAAUGGACGCCUGUGAACUGUGGACCUUUCUGAACGUCUGCCUAUACAUUUUGCAUUACGCAACACUAUUCUCUAUUGGUGUUGUUUUAUCUGUGCAAGGUCAUCGCUUGUAUCUCGGUCCCUUAGGGACUGUAGGAGCAUGAGCAGGGUGAAGUCGUUGCUGACCGCGUGCUUCGUGUCAGGCGAGCAUACUCGUCGAAAAAGAUCUUCGUUGAAACGUCGUCAAUCUCAGAAGAAGGUACAGCUCGAACCCCAGUGCGCAGACCGAAAUUCGUCAGGUGGCAUCGCGAAGGAUUGCGACGGGCUUGCACGGACACCAAGCGCGCAGUCCUCUACAAAAAAUCUCAGCUAUGUUACUUCAUCCGAACGUUCUUCCCCUUCACGCGCCUCCA